AUGAGAGUUUGAUCCUGGCUCAGGACGAACGCUGGCGGCGUGCCUAAUACAUGCAAGUCGAACGCUUCUUUCCUCCCGAGUGCUUGCACUCAAUUGGAAAGAGGAGUGGCGGACGGGUGAGUAACACGUGGGUAACCUACCCAUCAGAGGGGGAUAACACUUGGAAACAGGUGCUAAUACCGCAUAACAGUUUAUGCCGCAUGGCAUAAGAGUGAAAGGCGCUUUCGGGUGUCGCUGAUGGAUGGACCCGCGGUGCAUUAGCUAGUUGGUGAGGUAACGGCUCACCAAGGCCACGAUGCAUAGCCGACCUGAGAGGGUGAUCGGCCACACUGGGACUGAGACACGGCCCAGACUCCUACGGGAGGCAGCAGUAGGGAAUCUUCGGCAAUGGACGAAAGUCUGACCGAGCAACGCCGCGUGAGUGAAGAAGGUUUUCGGAUCGUAAAACUCUGUUGUUAGAGAAGAACAAGGACGUUAGUAACUGAACGUCCCCUGACGGUAUCUAACCAGAAAGCCACGGCUAACUACGUGCCAGCAGCCGCGGUAAUACGUAGGUGGCAAGCGUUGUCCGGAUUUAUUGGGCGUAAAGCGAGCGCAGGCGGUUUCUUAAGUCUGAUGUGAAAGCCCCCGGCUCAACCGGGGAGGGUCAUUGGAAACUGGGAGACUUGAGUGCAGAAGAGGAGAGUGGAAUUCCAUGUGUAGCGGUGAAAUGCGUA
rnacentral:rRNA from 1 species